rnacentral:rRNA from 1 species
GAUGAACGCUGGCGGCGUGCCUAAUACAUGCAAGUCGAGCGAACGGACGAGAAGCUUGCUUCUCUGAUGUUAGCGGCGGACGGGUGAGUAACACGUGGAUAACCUACCUAUAAGACUGGGAUAACUUCGGGAAACCGGAGCUAAUACCGGAUGAUAUUUUGAACCGCAUGGUUCAAAAGUGAAAGACGGUCUUGCUGUCACUUAUAGAUGGAUCCGCGCUGCAUUAGCUAGUUGGUAAGGUAACGGCUUACCAAGGCAACGAUGCAUAGCCGACCUGAGGGUGAUCGGCCACACUGGAACUGAGACACGGUCCAGACUCCUACGGGAGGCAGCAGUAGGGAAUCUUCCGCAAUGGGCGAAAGCCUGACGGAGCAACGCCGCGUGAGUGAUGAAGGUCUUCGGAUCGUAAAACUCUGUUAUUAGGGAAGAACAUACGUGUAAGUAACUGUGCACAUCUUGACGGUACCUAAUCAGAAAGCCACGGCUAACUACGUG